CGUGCAGAGCCGGCCGGGCGCGGACCCCGCGCGCUCCAGGGGCCUCCCCAGCUCGCCUGCGCGGCCGAAACGGACCCGCUGCUACCUCUGAAUUGUUUAUAGUAAAUGGCACCAAAGACAGGGGGAGACUUGGAAAGCCGGAGCGGAAAAACGAGGACUUGCCCGCCGCCUGCGGCUGCGCGCUUCUUUGAAGGUGGCAUUCCCAAGGGCUGUUUUUAAACCCGGUUUGAACUGUUAGCGCCGUUCAGUUCUGCAACUUAAGGCUACUGACAUUUGUUAAGUCCGUUUCCUUAAGCUUCCUAGCCACGGCUGUUAGUUUCCAUUCUAUUCCUAGGAGAUGGGUUUUGCUGGUGGCGGUUUGUUCCUGAAGAACAGAUGAAAAACAUGCUUACACCUGGUGGCUCUCGGCUGGGGUUCGUGAGCGUGUAUUUCUGCAUGUGGAGGGCGCCCUCCGCGGGCGUGGGAGCCGUUUCUUAGGGACACAGAGAGGAUUUGUUUAGAGAUGGAUUUUAGCGCAAGGAAAAGAACAUGAUUUGUUCUGCAGGGAUGGGUGAGCAAACGCGUUUGGCCAGGGAGGAGCGAGGCACAGCCGUUUCUUCCGCAGACGGGUGUUAGAUAUCUGCUGUCCGGGGUUCAGCAGGGCUGGGAAACGCGACCCUUGAACCAGCAAUCACAGAUGCAAACUAGCUCCGUUUCAAGGAAUAACCUCAAAAGUCAAGAUCCCUGCAGUCAACACGCAUGGGCCCCUGUGUCCAUUGUGCUAUUUGUGGGACAGAAAUGGUGGUGGAGGGGAUUUGCAUUUGUUGAAUGCCAGUUACUUGCCUACCAUUUUCUGAAAAGUAGACCUCAUUUACUCUGCGCAGCAAAUUCCUGCAAGGAAGGAAGUUUACUUUCCGCCUUAUAAGGAAGCUAAGUCACACACCCCAAGUCUCGUGGUUGGUGCAUGGUAGAGUGCUGUGUAGAUAAGCCAUCAGCAGGGGGGACAAACCUGAGCUCUGAACACACUUGGUCUGAGUCCCCUGCAUGACUCUAAGUUCCCCCUUUACC
rnacentral:lncRNA from 1 species